CCUACGGGAGGCAGCAGUGAGGAAUAUUGGUCAAUGGACGAGAGUCUGAACCAGCCAAGUAGCGUGAAGGAUGACUGCCCUAUGGGUUGUAAACUUCUUUUAUAAAGGAAUAAAACGAGGCACGCGUGCCUUUUUGCAUGUACUUUAUGAAUAAGGAUCGGCUAAUUCCGUGCCAGCAGCCGCGGUAAUACGGAAGGUCCGGGCGUUAUCCGGAUUUAUUGGGUUUAAAGGGAGCGUAGGCCGGCUUUUAAGUCAGCUGUGAAAGUCCGCGGCUCAACCGUGGAAUUGCAGUUGAAACUGGAGGC
rnacentral:rRNA from 1 species